GGGGACUGGGGCGCGGGCCGCCCCUCCAACAUGGCGGCGGCCGAGCAGCAGCCGCCGGCGGCCGAUGGCGGCAAGGCGCUGAGCGCGCUGCUGGGCGGCAUCGCGCAGGCCGCCUACUACGGCAAGGCCGACAUCACGGAGGAGCUGCUGCGCGGGCAGCUCUACCCCGAGGCGGCGCCGGAGGAGUUCCGCGCCCUGCGCGCCAAGAUGGGCGGCCUGCUGCAGUCAAUCGCUUCAGCUGAUAUGGAUUUGAAUCAGCUGGAAGCUUUUCUCACUGCCCAAACAAAAAAGCAAGGUGGCAUCACGUCGGAUCAAGCUGCAGUCAUUGCCAAAUUUUGGAAAAACCACCGAGUGAGGAUCCAUGAGAGCCUGGUAAAUCAAAGCUGCUGGGAUAACGUCUUGAAAAACAUGAACUGGAGAGUGGAUCUGAAGUCACAGUCAAGACAUGUUGAUCAGAUAAAUACUCCAGUUGCAAUAGUUGAAAUGGAACUGGGGAAAAACGGUCAGAACUUUGUGGACUGUGUAAACUAACGGAGUGUUACAUGAGACUAAACCCAGCUCUGAGCAGCCCGAUUUACUGCCCCCUCCUUCACAUUUCAGGAAUCUGAAUUUCUCUGCCUGGAGUUUGAUGAGGCCAAGGUGAGCCAGAUGCUGAAGAAACUCUCAGAAAUAGAGGACAGCAUGACUGCAUUGACUCAGACCACCUGACUCACAGAAAAUAAAGAGAUUGCAACUCAAAAAAACAAA